ACCAUAAUAGCCCUUACUCCACUUGUCUGGAAUCCACAAAGGUAGUUCUGCAAGUUGUUGGGUAUUCCAAUUCCAAUUAUGUGUUUAGGAACUGGGGAAAUCACUACGUGAUGGAUUCAGGGACCCACUGAAUCCACUGUGAAAUGAACCAGAGCUAUGGCUCCAUUAAGAACCUGACUUCCGUACAACCGCUUUCUGACCGGUGGGCCACAGUGACAUCUAGGGUCUCCUGGAUUCAGUGUCAGUUCAGAGGCAGUAUCCAGUAAUUCUUACGCUUGUACAGAUCAAGUAACUACUCGAUAGACUUCCCAUCUAUUUCACUCCUAGGGACACCAUGACUAAGUAGCCAAUGCCAUGAGUCCAUAGGAGUCAGGCUACUCUCAUUACUGCUUUGACUCCACUGUCCAUUAUGUGAACCACACCUACCUUGUUCUUGUCCAUUGAGUCACCCGCAUGGCCCCUAACACCGUGGGGUCCAAUCAGCCCCAUUGUAGUUUGGUGUCUUAAUUCAGUUAGGGCAUCUCCCAUUGUGAGAUCUGACUUCCAUAAAAUAACAAUCACAGCAGUCUUCAAGGAUGCUGGGGCUCCCUUCACAAAUUUAUUCCUCACCAUUGCGGUAAAAGGUGUGUCCUCUGAGCAUUCCAUGUGUGGGUCUGUGGGUCUAAGCCGAGAAAUCCACUCUAACAUGCCAGUUUCCCUAAGCCUUUGGAUACCUUCUUCUACUGUGAAAUCAAGGCGGGUCUGGCACUUCAGCUGGGUUUAGUGUGGGCCACCGCUUAAUCUGUGCUUCACUGAAUCAGUCACAUAAACUAUUAAAUCCUUUCCUAAGCUCUCUAGCUGAAACACUGGAUGAAGGAUCUGUGCUUAGUGGACCCAUAUCAAUGAACUCAGGCUGAGGCAACUUUAUGUUCCUUGCACCAUUAUCCCACACCCAUAAUAGCAAUUCCCACACGUAGUCUCCAGGCUUUUGUUUGUAUGUAUUAGAAAAGUCAAGCAGUUCUUUUUCUUUUGGAGUGUAGUGUACCUCCCCCUGGAUCACAUUUUGUGCUUUACCUUUGAGGAUAGCAGGGACUUCAGUCUAGUUAUAGGCCUAGAAGCAACAAUGGGUGUUGGGAAUGUGUCUGGAGAACAUUCAGCAAUGUCUUGUAAGACAUCUGCCUUAAGGGAUGAUGCCCCAGGCAGUGACUCAGACAUCACCCUAGUGGACGACUGAGACAAAGGCUCUUCAGACACAACUGGGUUAAUCUCAGCAGAUGGGGGUCUGAGGGGCUAACAGUUUUCCUGGGGAGGGUGGUUUAGCAGCCAAACAUGGAGUAAUCCCUUCAGGCGGGAGCUGCUAUUUGGUGAUGGCCUUGCUAUUCCUCAAUGAAACUCAUUUUCUUUCACUCCUAAUAGAGUGUGGGAUUUUGUUCUUCAACAACACAAACAAACAGAAAACAUGACCAGAGCCUUUGCAGCAGCAAAUUAGCUAGGAGAAGAUUAUAAUGUAAUGCUUUCAAGUUCUGAUUUAAAGUAGAAUUCUAACCCAGACAAAAUGUGAGGGCAAUCAAGGCAUUUCCAGACAAGUAAGUAAGAACUUAAACAUCUACUUGCAAGGCAUGCACCUUGAGGAAACUGUUGGAGAAAGGAAAUCAGCACAAAGGACUGAUGAGAAAAAAAAAAAAAAAAAAAGACUGUUUAGGCAUAGAAAAUAAAAACAGGCAUCUGAUCUGUCUGUAAAGAGACUAAAGUAACUCUAAGCGCUCAAUGUAGUCUUUCACCUUAGGUUUGGCGUUGGCUGUCUAGCAGCUCCAGGUAAGCUUUCCCCCAGGUUCUACCCUCCUUCCCUAGGAAUCAACCCAUCACCAUGAAGGAAAUGAGUUGCUUUGCGGAUCAAGCUAAAGAAUGUGAAGACUUAAGGCAAACUUUUGGUAUCAGCCUCCUCAGGUUUCUGACAUGCCCAGCAAAGUGAGAGAUCAUGGAAACUCCUUGUUUCCAUUCUCAUCUGGAGAGCUAACAUUCUGAGCAACGUGAUUGUUAACCAACCAGUCUUGAGAAUAUCCGUCCUGUGGCUGCUUUGUAACCAAGGUGAAACCCCCUUGACCUCCUGUCUUUCAAUUGUGUCUUGUAGCCAGUCAAUCGGCUCACGUAAGCAAUAAUGACAACGAUUGUGCUUUACUUGUCGCGUCUUUGAUUGACCUUCGUCACUGUGAACCAACAAGAAAAACUGUAAUUUUAUUCUCCCCCUUCAGCACUCUGAUUACUCCUGAUUUGCCUUCUUCCCGUGAGAUUCCGGAACGUCAGCCUGAGACUUUGCGAUCUCCCACUGCCACGUCUCCGCUGCAAUAAAUCUCUUUCGAUUUUACCUUAAGGGAGCUGGGAAGUCUUUUCUCUCCAACAUUUUGGCGUAGUUAAUCGGCAGGGUUUUUGGAGUUACCCUUCCCCCGGAGACCCGAAGACCUGAAACACGGGAUUCCGGCACCAAGGGCCCCUUUGUGUGCCCCUCGCUGCAGCUUUUUCGGACCCUUCUGGCUGUCUGGGGGGAGAAGGGAGCAGAGAGACUGGAGGACUUCAUUACCACCAAGCAGAAGAGCCAGGAGCAUUUGCUUUGAACCAGGGGCCCCUGCACUGAGAAGCUGCUAGAUCUGGGGAAGACUGAUGACAAGGACCUUCUCCCAGAGCCAACAGAGAGAGAAAGACUUUCCUAGGAGCUGACGCCCUGAAUUCAGACUUCUAGUCUCCUAGACUGUGAGAGAAUAAAUUACUCUUUGUAAAAGCCA